GAUGAACGCUAGCGGCAGGCUUAAUACAUGCAAGUCGAGGGGCAGCGCGGGUAGCAAUACCUGGCGGCGACCGGCAAACGGGUGCGGAACACGUACGCAACCUUCCCGAAACUGGUGAAUAGCCCUCCGAAAGGAGGAUUAAUACACCGUAAGAUAACGAAGAGGCAUCUCUUUGUUAUUAUAGCUACGGCGGUUUUGGAUGGGCGUGCGCCUGAUUAGGUAGUUGGCGGGGUAACGGCCCACCAAGCCUACGAUCAGUAACUGGUGUGAGAGCACGACCAGUCACACGGGCACUGAGACACGGGCCCGACUCCUACGGGAGGCAGCAGUAAGGAAUAUUGGUCAAUGGACGCAAGUCUGAACCAGCCAUGCCGCGUGAAGGAUGAAGGUCCUCUGGAUUGUAAACUUCUUUUAUAUGGGACGAAAAAAGGGUUUUACUUAACUCACUUGACGGGUACCAUAGAAUAAGCACCGGCUAACUCCGUG
rnacentral:rRNA from 1 species